UACGUAGGCAGCAAGCGUUGUUCGGAAUUACUGGGCGUAAAGGGUGUGUAGGCGGUGCUCCAAGUCUGGUGUGAAAUCUCCCGGCUCAACUGGGAGGGUGCGCCGAAUACUGAGAGGCUAGAGUGUGGGAGAGGAAAGUGGAAUUCCUGGUGUAGCGGUGAAAUGCGUAGAUAUCAGGAGGAACACCGGUGGUGUAAACGGCUUUCUGGACCAUAACUGACGCUGAUGCACGAAAGCGUGGGUAGCAAACAGG
rnacentral:rRNA from 1 species